AACGCUAGCUACAGGCUUAACACAUGCAAGUCGAGGGGCAGCAUCAUCAAAGCUUGCUUUGAUGGAUGGCGACCGGCGCACGGGUGAGUAACACGUAUCCAACCUGCCGACAACACUGGGAUAGCCUUUCGAAAGAAAGAUUAAUACCGGAUGGCAUAGUCUUCCCGCAUGGGAUGAUUAUUAAAGAAUUUCGGUUGUCGAUGGGGAUGCGUUCCAUUAGGCAGUUGGCGGGGUAACGGCCCACCAAACCAACGAUGGAUAGGGGUUCUGAGAGGAAGGUCCCCCACAUUGGAACUGAGACACGGUCCAAACUCCUACGGGAGGCAGCAGUGAGGAAUAUUGGUCAAUGGACGAGAGUCUGAACCAGCCAAGUAGCGUGAAGGAUGACUGCCCUAUGGGUUGUAAACUUCUUUUAUACGGGAAUAAAGUUAGCCACGUGUGGCUUUUUGUAUGUACCGUAUGAAUAAGGAUCGGCUAACUCCGUGCCAGCAGCCGCGGUAAUACGGAGGAUCCGAGCGUUAUCCGGAUUUAUUGGGUUUAAAGGGAGCGUAGGCGGGUUGUUAAGUCAGUUGUGAAAGUUUGCGGCUCAACCGUAAAAUUGCAGUUGAUACUGGCGACCUUGAGUGCAACAGAGGUAGGCGGAAUUCGUGGUGUAGCGGUGAAAUGCUUAGAUAUCACGAAGAACUCCGAUUG
rnacentral:rRNA from 1 species